AGCAGCCGCGGUAAUUCCAGCUCCAAUAGCGUAUAUUAAAGUUGUUGCAGUUAAAAAGCUCGUAGUUGAAUUUCGGGAUUAGUACGUUGGUCGUGCCUUAGGUACGUACUGGUGUUACUGGUUCCUACCUUCUGACGAACCAUCAUUUCAUUAAUUUGGUGUGGCGGGGAAUCAGGACUGUUACUUUGAAAAAUUAGAGUGUUUAAAGCAGGCUCGCGCUUGAAUACAUUAGCAUGGAAUAAUGAAAUAGGACGUUGACCCUAUUUUGUUGGUUUCUAGGAUUGACGUAAUGAUUAAUAGGGAUAGUUGGGGGCAUUAGUAUUCAAUUGUCAGAGGUGAAAUUCUUGGAUUUAUUGAAGACUAACUACUGCGAAGGCAUUUGCCAAGGAUGUUUUCAUUAAUCAAGAACGAAAGUUAGGGGAUCGAAGACGAUCAGAUACCGUCGUAGUCUUAACCAUAAACUAUGCCGACUAGGGAUCGGAUGAUGUUAUUUUAAUGACUCAUUCGGCGCCUUACG
rnacentral:rRNA from 1 species